rnacentral:rRNA from 1 species
GAUGAACGCUGGCGGCGUGCCUAAUACAUGCAAGUCGAGCGAACGGACGAGAAGCUUGCUUCUCUGAUGUUAGCGGCGGACGGGUGAGUAACACGUGGAUAACCUACCUAUAAGACUGGGAUAACUUCGGGAAACCGUAGCUAAUACCGGAUAAUAUUUUGAACCGCAUGGUUCAAAAGUGAAAGACGGUCUUGCUGUCACUUAUAGAUGGAUCCGCGCUGCAUUAGCUAGUUGGUAAGGUAACGGCUUACCAAGGCAACGAUGCAUAGCCGACCUGAGAGGGCGAUCGGCCACACUGGAACUGAGACACGGUCCAGACUCCUACGGGAGGCAGCAGUAGGGAAUCUUCCGCAAUGGGCGAAAGCCUGACGGAGCAACGCCGCGUGAGUGAUGAAGGUCUUCGGAUCGUAAAACUCUGUUAUUAGGGAAGAACAUAUGUGUAAGUAAUUGUGCACAUCUUGACGGUACCUAAUCAGAAAGCCACGGCUAACUACGUG